GGAUAACAGGCUGAUACCGCCCAAGAGUUCAUAUCGACGGCGGUGUUUGGCACCUCGAUGUCGGCUCAUCACAUCCUGGGGCUGAAGCCGGUCCCAAGGGUAUGGCUGUUCGCCAUUUAAAGUGGUACGCGAGCUGGGUUUAGAACGUCGUGAGACAGUUCGGUCCCUAUCUGCCGUGGACGUUUGAGAUUUGAGAGGGGCUGCUCCUAGUACGAGAGGACCGGAGUGGACGAACCUCUGGUGUUCCGGUUGUCACGCCAGUGGCAUUGCCGGGUAGCUAUGUUCGGAAGAGAUAACCGCUGAAAGCAUCUAAGCGGGAAACUUGCCUCAAGAUGAGAUCUCACUGGGAUCUUGAAUCCCCUAAAGGGCCGUCGAAGACUACGACGUUGAUAGGUUGGGUGUGUAA
rnacentral:rRNA from 1 species